AUGAAUCCACUACCGGAUCGAAAUCGCGACCCGCUGUGAAGAUCCGGCGAGAAACUCAGCGGGCUGAUGCAUGGAUUAGGUUGCACGUCGACCUCUUUGUCGAGUUCGACGAGUACGGUUACCAGGGUCCCUAAGCCUGCUCCUAGUGUUAGAGCUGAAGGCGUCUAAUGCAAAGGUUAUUGGAUCUGAUGGAUCCGUGGUACCAAGACACUGCACCUACACAGCGUGCCCAUACUUACAACAUAGCUUAUCAUCAAACUUAGAUAGUGACGAAAGCUUGGUGGAAAAAUUGGUGAUGAUUAUCUAUCAUCAUGUAGAAAUAGAGAAUUGCUAAGAAGUCCGUUUUUUUCGGAAGUCAGUGCAUCUCGCAUCUAGAUUAAGAUCCUGCCUUGCGAUUCUCUAAAAGUCAAACAAGAACUCGCAUCUCACUACGAAAUUCUCCAUCACUUCGCAUUCGCAAUAGAAUGACCUUGAAUUGGCAUUCUGUAAACACUAAUCUUAAUUACCCUGCCUCGAGCGAAGUGAAGUGACAACGAAGUUUGUUUAUACUACUACUAGGGAUAGCCGUAAACACGCAAAUGUAAAUCGAAGCUUACCGGUUUCAGUUUUUCGUUGUAUUUAUAAGCAUUCUGUAAGAAAAUACUAUGAAUUUAAGCUUUGGUGUUAAAGCCACAUCUAAUAUAUCUAAAAAGAAAAUUAAAAGUCAUAUAUUUAUGAAAUUAAUUGUAAUUUCUGGAUGUACGCUAAGUUCCUUUGCGUGCACUGGCGAAUACCAGAAUUAAAAAACAAAAUUUUAAUUGUUUUCAAAACAAUCUCAAGCAGUCGGAAGUUUUUAUUUUGCUUUUUCUAGAUUUUUUGUUACUUUGUGAGUGAAUUUAACGUUAAAUAAAAAAUUAUGAGGUAAGUAAAAGUUAGUUUUGAGGCUAUCAAUGGUUCAUCCAUUUGUUUUUUAAUCUAAAAUUUCAAUAUAUUACCAACAGACUUAACGAGCGUUCUUCUCAUCCGACAUUGGUGCAAAUAGAGGCAUUGAUAGACGUUUUGGAUUAAAAGCUAGCGAAACAAAAGGUUUAAUCGUAUCUCAACAUGUUCAAUAAGAUAACAAGGAUAUUAAAAAAUAUUGGAACUAAAUUCUCUUGUCAGAUAUGAUCCAUUCCCGGAGAAAUAUUUAGGACAUGUUAACAUCUAUUUAUGUAUGAUAAAUCUAUCUACUACGUUUUUAUUGAUAUUCUAUUUUAAGAGGGAAUAUCGGUAAUUUAUCUGUAUCUCAAAUUCACCAGCAAAAAAAAUUAUAUUGAAUUAAAUAAAUCAAAUCAUUAACAAUUUAGGUAUUGCAAGUUGGAUUGAUGUUGUUGGAAUGUUUUUAUUGAUGCAGAGGUGACUCUAUUUAUGGUAAAGGGUGUGCAUAUUGGUACAGGGGUGGCAGGCAGUUCCAGAGUAUUGACUAAACUGACAUUAUGUAGGUUAAAGGCUGCAUACUCCGUUUAAAAUAAAUGAACAAAAUUUAGGCAUAACCUUUUUUAUUAUAUUUAAGGAACUACAACAGAUUGAAAAUACUAAUCCACAUCAUAAGAAUAUUGUAAGGAGAAUUUAUUGCCAACUCGGAAAAUGUAUCAGUAUUGGAACAAUCCCAAACAUACAGCACCUCAACACCUGACCUGCUAUUUCACCACUUUUCAAUGAAAAGCAGAGUGUACUCAAAUUACAACAAAUUACACAGUACCAGGAUAUAUAACUUAAACAACCAUGGGGAAAUAAAUAGUCGACAGUCUGCAAGAAGGAUGAACUGUUGGUGGAAUUAGCAUAUGCAGCUAGGAAUUUUAAACCUGUAUUUCCACAUAUUACUGAUGCAAACAAAUUUCAAAAUUAUUGUAUAUAACUAUUGAAUAAAACUAUAAUAAAACUAUUUUUAUAAAUCAUUAA